ACGAUUCUACAGACUCAUCACAACAAUUCAAAACAUCAAGCGCUUAAAAUGAGAAUAAUUCAUCGCCAUUUCCAAAGACUUCAAAGAGAGCACCUAUUGAUCGUUGUCAUUCGAAAAUUGAUAUCCAUAAAAAAAAACGAUUAAUGAUGUUUUGACAAAUCGGUGACAUCAAGGUAUUGUUCCACACUCAAUUUGACAACGCUUCGACGUAUAAAAAACAAAAAAACUAUCACUUUGUUCACAGUUAUAUCAUCGCAAAGUCUCAUAAGAGUUUAUACAAAAAGUUGAAAAAAAUCCACGAUAAUGGCACCUUCGUGGAUAAUUCAUGGAGCUGUAGCAAUCUUCGUCGGGAUAAACCUAAUCGUUGGCAUCAAAGCAGACGCCAUCUCCUCACUCAACUCUAAAGCAACCGAACCAAAUUUCGAACCUUUAUCACCAGACGACUUCUCGCAAGAUCUACGCCAACUUCUAUCACCCGAAAUAUUCACACAGCCAGAUCCAUUCCACUAUUUACUCCAAAAAGCGACAAAAUUACCAUACUGGAUAAUAGAAAGAGUAAACAGGGAGAUGGAAACCCAUUUUCCAACGAGUAGUGAGACGAAAUUUCCUCCAGCUUACUUGCCCUACGCUAAACUUCUAUGUUUACAACUGGAUUUACUUUCCGACCUGACCAAUCUGCAAAUUAGAAUUCGCGAUGUACAAAAACGCAAUCCUCCUUUCCCACUACCGGAUAUUCAUUUACUCGAUCCUGAAAUAUCGAGUUUAUUUACGGCGGAUAUUUUCUCAGACCCUAAUCCUCCCUCGGUUCUGGUUGAUAAAUUACUAGACGUACCAGAAAGUAGUUUCCAAAGUAUAGUCAAAAAAUUGGAAUAUUCUGCACUACAUGUUGGUAAUAUUCCAUAUUAUUAUUUCUGGUAUUGUUGUUUUCUAAAACUACCUUUUAAAAGACCACAUGGUUGGACAGCUUUGGUAAAUUUAAAAAAGUACGUUGCUGAAAUGCAACAGCUUUAAUCCUGUCCACUUCUUCAGUUAAUCAUGAAUCAAAAGUCAUCAACCAAUUUUUUCCCCAUUCGACCUGGCCUGCUGAUUUUCCUAAAAAUGAAUCAAUUGAAUUAACUAGUGUAGGUACCAGGAUUAAGAUAAGACAUUUAACAAUUAGGUUGAUUAAUUUUUUUGUUUGUAAGAAAUAUAUUUUGUUAUACCUACAUACGUACUAAA